rnacentral:misc_RNA from 1 species
AGAUGAAGAACGCAGCGAAAUGCGAUAAGUAAUGUGAAUUGCAGAAUUCAGUGAAUCAUCGAAUCUUUGAACGCACAUUGCGCCCCCUGGUAUUCCGGAGGGCACACCUGUUCGAGCGCCGUAGUACAACUAAGGCUCAGCCUUGCGUUGAUCCGCGUCCCAGCCUUGCGGCGAUGGACCGGGUCGAAACCUUUGUGGCGCCGCCAUGCGGCCGGCUAUGCGCAAUAGCAGAAGCCAGUCUCAUAGGUAGCCGCCUAUUUUUACAGCACGCUUGGCCUCGGAUCAGGUGGGGAUACCCGCUGAACUUAAGCAUAUCAAUAAGCGGAGGA